CAGAGGACAGUGGCGAACGGGUGAGUAACACGUAGGGAAUCUGCCCAUGUGCCCGGGACAACAGAUGGAAACGUCUGCUAAAACCGGAUAGGUGGCAAGGAGGCAUCUUCUUGCGAUUAAAGGGGCUACGGCCUUGAACAUGGAUGAUCCUGCGGUGCAUUAGCUAGUUGGUGAGGUAACGGCUCACCAAGGCGAUGAUGCAUAGCCGACCUGAGAGGGUGAACGGCCACAUUGGGACUGAGACACGGCCCAGACUCC
rnacentral:rRNA from 2 species